CUGGUGAAAUCCAUUCUUACCAAGAAAUCGGGUGGAGAAUGUAUAAUAAAUGAAUACAACCGAACUAAGUCCUUGACAGAACAGAGCAGAAGAAAAUUGGUGAAUAUACUGGCAGCUGAGAUGACGGAGAAGAAUGGAACAUCUCCGUCAAGACAGGUGAAGGAAAUGUAUGCACAAGGAAUUGUGAACUUGUUCCCCAACCUCAGAGACCCAUUUUCCAAAAAUGGCUAUGUGAAUUACACACUCUUAAUUGUUGUUAUUGUCUUUAUUUUGAGUCGUGCCAAAGUAUGUUGUGACUAAUAGUGCCUAUUUUUGCAAUUCUUUCAAAGGAACAUUUUUAUGAUAGCAACAGUGGUACUGGGUAUUUGGCCUGGAGAAUUAAAACUAUUUAGAGAUGCAGUGCUAAAGAAAGGCGAUCAUCAUUUGGAGGACCAUCCGAUGAAGACAAGUUGAGAGGACCAACUGUUGGACGAGUUACCCAAUUCAUUCCAGAGAUUGUCAUGUCUGAAAAUGAGUGCAAGGAAGCCAUGUCACUGAUGAAACAUUGGGCUGGCGUGGACAUGGUCAUCAAAAAGAUGAAGCUGACAUUUGCCCAUCGGCAAAACAUGGUCAAGCAACAUUCUAUCUUAUUUUCCUAAUUUUGAAGACAUCAAAGACUUGGUUGAACAGGAUUUUGUUCUAAUGUUUGUAGAGGAUUAAUUAGGCAAGUUUCUGGAGAAGUGGCCAACCACAUUCAAAAAGAAGAUCAUCCAACAAUGCAGAAAGCUUCCCUCCGUCUUUGAGCUUGAGGAACUCCUGAUGGCAGCUGACCCUCCUGAGUUAAAGUUAAAGUACCAAUGACUGAGGAUGGGGCUGAAGUAAACGUUGACUUUGGUUGGGACAGUGACCUCUCAUGGAUUUUGCUGCUCUUACACUUGAUCCCACCAACUGCUCUAGGUCGGAAGAGGCCAGGAAAUGUUUCUGCAUCCCAGGCUGAGAAGCAUCUUGUGGUCUUCAAGAAUAUUGGAACAAGCAUCCAAGAACAUCUUGACACCAUUACUACCAUCACUCAACCCUAUCUCCUGGUUGAGGAUGAAUAAAAUCCACCAGUUCUUCAUAAUUCUCGACAAGAAUGUCAUACCUUGCAGGUCACACUCCUCUCUUGGUGCUUUUGAUGAACUGUUUAAAGCACACUUUGUGUUUGCGACAUCAUACCACACCAUGCUCCACAACAUGUACACAUUCAUGCCUUACUCCAAACCAUUUGAUGUUCACAUGGCGUAUGGAACAUUGUGUUCCACAUUGUAUGUUGUCCCAUAUUGCCAUUUUAUGCAGACCUAAGGUCACCCUUUCUGUAUUCUGUCCCUAAAGUUGAUUAUCCUGCCUGACAAAAAAUAA